GAUGAACGCUGGCGGCGUGCCUAAUACAUGCAAGUCGAGCGAACAGACGAGGAGCUUGCUCCUCUGACGUUAGCGGCGGACGGGUGAGUAACACGUGGAUAACCUACCUAUAAGACUGGGAUAACUUCGGGAAACCGGAGCCAAUACCGGAUAAUAUAUUGAACCGCAUGGUUCAAUAGUGAAAGACGGUUUUGCUGUCACUUUUAGAUGGAUCCGCGCCGCAUUAGCUAGUUGGUAAGGUAACGGCUUACCAAGGCAACGAUGCGUAGCCGACCUGAGAGGGUGAUCAGCCACACUGGAACUGAGACACGGUCCAGACUCCUACGGGAGGCAGCAGUAGGGAAUCUUCCGCAAUGGGCGAAAGCUUGACGGAGCAACGCCGCGUGAGUGAUGAAGGUCUUCGGAUCGUAAAACUCUGUUAUUAGGGAAGAACAAAUGUGUAAGUAACUAUGCACGUCUUGACGGUACCUAAUCAGAAAGCCACGGCUAACUACGUG
rnacentral:rRNA from 1 species